rnacentral:rRNA from 1 species
AAAUGAAUUGACGGGGACCCGCACAAGCGGUGGAGUAUGUUGUUUAAUUCGACGCUACGCGAGAAACCUUACCGACUCUUGACAUCCCGGUCGCGGCUUUUAGAGAUAGAAGCUUUCAAUUCGGUUGGACCGGUGACAGAUGCUGCAUGGUUGUCGUCAGCUCGUGCCGUGAGGUGUUAGGUUAAGUCCUGCAACGAGCGCAACCCUCGUCCUUUGUUGCCAUCGGGUUAUGCCGGGCACUCUAAGGAGACCGCUGCGGUUAACGCAGAGGAAGGUGGGGAUGACGUCAAAUCAUCAUGGUUCUUACGAGUCGGGCUACAAACGUACUACAAUGGCUACAACAAUGGGUCGCAACACAGCGAUGUGGAGCUAAUCCUUAAAAGUGGCCUCAGUUCAGAUUGCACUCUGCAACUCGAGUGCAUGAAGUUGGAAUCGCUAGUAAUCGCUGAUCAGAAUGCAGCGGUGAAUACGUUCCCGGGUCUUGUACACACCGCCCGU